GCUGAUAUAGCUCAGCAGGUAGAGCGCAUCCUUGGUAAGGAUGAGGUCCCCGGUUCGAAUCCGGGUAUCAGCUCCA
rnacentral:tRNA from 1 species